UUACUGGCAGUGAUAUUUAUGAAGAACCCAAAAAACUCAAGUCCUGGCAGUGAUAUUUAUGAAGAACCUAAAAAUGUCAAGUCCUGGCAGUGAUAUUUAUGAAGAACCUAAAAACAUCAAGUCCUGGCAGUGAUAUUUAUGAAGAACCCAAAACAGUCAGGUCCUGGCAGUGAUAUUUAUGAAGAACCCAAAACAGUCAAGUUCUGGCAGUGAUAUUUAUGAAGAACCCAAAACAGUCAAGUCCUGGCAGUGAUAUUUAUGAAGAACCCAAAACAGUCAAGUCCUGGCAGUGAUAUUUACGAAGAACCCAAAACAGUCAAGUCCUGGCAGUGAUAUUUAUGAAGAACCCAAAACAGUCAAGUCCUGGCAGUGAUAUUUAUGAAGAACCUAAAAACAUCAAGUUCUGGCAGUGAUAUUUAUGAAGAACCUAAAAACGUCAAGUCCUGGCAGUGAUAUUUAUGAAGAACCUAAAAACGUCAAGUCCUGGCAGUGAUAUUUAUGAAGAACCUAAAAACAGUCAAGUCCUGGCAGUGAUAUUUAUGAAGAACCCAAAAACAGUCAAGUCCUGGCAGUGAUAUUUAUGAAGAACCCAAAACAGUCAAGUCCUGGCAGUGAUAUUUAUGAAGAACCCAAAAACAGUCAAGUCCUGGCAGUGAUAUUUAUGAAGAACCCAAAAACAGUCAAGUCCUGGCAGUGAUAUUUAUGAAGAACCCAAAACAGUCAAGUCCUGGCAGUGA